rnacentral:rRNA from 1 species
CCGGCGACCGGCGGGCGGGUGCGUAACGCGUAUGUAACCUACCUUUGACAGGGGGAUAACAUCGAGAAAUUGGUACUAAUACCCCAUAACAUCACCGGAGGCAUCUUCGGUGGUUGAAAACUCAGGUGGUCAGAGAUGGACAUGCGUUGUAUUAGCUAGUUGGUGAGGUAACGGCUCACCAAGGCGACGAUACAUAGGGGGACUGAGAGGUCAACCCCCCACAUUGGUACUGAGACACGGACCAAACUCCUACGGAAGGCAGCAG